rnacentral:rRNA from 1 species
AUGGUGAGUUUUCCAUCACACGCACACGGUCCUCUCUCGUACCAAAUUCUGCAACGAACAGAUUGUCCCCCGCAGGGUGGAAUAGCAGCCCUUUCGGAUUGCCCCAAGCCGGCCUCAUCGCCGACGAGAUCGUCUGAAUAUGAAGAACACCAGGGGAAAGCACCUUCCCCACCAAUGCACAAUCGGAGUCGACCAGAUCAGCGUCGUCUUCAUCGUCCAGCAACACAGGUUGCGCCUCGACUGCAGUCAGCCGCAAGCGCUCCAACAGGUCUUCUACAGGUGCACGGGAGCCGGAUCCACCCGUCUCCCGCACCGGUUCAGAGGCCGUCGUCGCCUUACCCGAGCUGGGGAGCAGCGGCCCCGAUGGAGCACCGCCGCUGCGUGGGGUCAAACGGGCGGCCGCCUCACCGCUCAUCCCCUUCUCCCCUGCAGUCUCCGCCAUGA